rnacentral:rRNA from 1 species
GACGAACGCUGGCGGCGUGCUUAACACAUGCAAGUCGAACGAAGAGCGAUGGAAGCUUGCUUCUCUCAAUCUUAGUGGCGAACGGGUGAGUAACGCGUAAUCGACCUGCCCUUCAGAGGGGGACAACAGUUGGAAACGACUGCUAAUACCGCAUACGAUCUAACCUCGGCAUCGAGGAUAGAUGAAAGGUGGCCUCUACAUGUAAGCUAUCACUGAAGGAGGGGAUUGCGUCUGAUUAGCUAGUUGGAGGGGUAACGGCCCACCAAGGCGAUGAUCAGUAGCCGGUCUGAGAGGAUGAACGGCCACAUUGGGACUGAGACACGGCCCAGACUCCUACCGGAGGCAGCAGUGGGGAAUCUUCCGCAAUAGACGAAAGUCUGACGGAGCAACGCCGCGUGAGUGAUGACGGCCUUCGGGUUGUAAAGCUCUGUUAAUCGGGACGAAAGGCCUUCUUGCGAAUAGUGAGAAGGAUUGACGGUACCGGAAUAGAAAGCCACGGCUAACUACGUG